AACAAACGCUGGCGGCGUGUCUUAAGCAUGCAAGUCGAGCGGCAAGGGCAGCAAUGCCCCUAGAGCGGCGGACUGGUGAGUAACGCGUGGGUGAUCUACCUAGGGCAUGGGGAUAGCCAUUAGAAAUAGUGGGUAAUACCGAAUACGUUCCUCUGGAUGCGUCCAGGGAAAGAAAGGUGCUACGGCACCGGCCUAUGAUGAGCUUGCGUCUGAUUAGCUAGUUGGUGAGGUAAAGGCCCACCAAGGCGAUGAUCGGUAGCCGGCCUGAGAGGGUGUACGGCCACACUGGGACUGAGAUACGGCUCAGACUCCUACGGGAGGCAGCAGCUAAGAAUAUUCCGCAAUGGACGAAAGUCUGACGGAGCGACGCCGCGUGGAUGAUGAAGGCCGAAAGGUUGUAAAGUCCUUUUGCUGGGGAAGAAUAAGCGUGGGAGGGAAUGCCCGCGUGAUGACAUGAACCGGCGAAUAAGCCCCGGCUAACUACGUGCCAG
rnacentral:rRNA from 1 species